CACUGUUGCUAAGUAAAAUUAUUAAAGAGCUUGAAUAUAUCUUUACAGUCAAAUGCUCACCUAGAGCUCAGAAGUGCACUUGAGUGACCGACCAAACACGCGCAGCCUGAAAUAUAAAAAGCACAGGUUAGAAACAUCAUGUGAACGAGGUCGAACAACAUCAGGGAAAGAUCGGAACGGCAAAGCAGGCUUGAGAACCAACAACCGGUAUUUAUUUAUGCUUCAGUCAUUCUGGUCCACAGACAGUUCUGGAUGCUGGAUGAGCCCUUACCUCAGCAGACAAGGUGACAGGAAAAUAGACCUCCGAUGACAGGCAUGCGUCAGGCUCGGUGGAUAUGCUAGUGAAGAAGAGACCCUCCCUUCAGGAGUUUCUGGACAGCGGAGGGUUCCGACUCCAAGAGCUGUACAUAUGCCGUACACUCCAUCAGGGAACAGAGCUGAAAAGGAGCUUUCUAGGGACCCGAGAGUCUAUAUUGGCCCAACUACCUGGGUUUUCUCCUUUCGCUUUGCUCCAGGUUCCAAACCCCUCCCCCUCAUCCUUCCUAUCAUAUCUGCAACGGCAAUGGUUGUUGCCACCAGUACCUCGGGGACGGAGAGGUUCUAUCACUGUGGAAACUGAUGUUACAUGCCUGAACCCAAGCCGUCCAUUAGUUUAAUUCCCCAACUAUAUGUGAAUAGGAUUAGUUCACUAGAGGGUCUGAAAUCUUCAUUUAAUUUUUCUGUAUGAGUUAAAAAACCAAGCAGCAAAAAACAUCUCUCUUCUCACAGAACCUUGCUGUUUUGUUCAGAACGUAUUUUACUCCAUCUGUUGAUGGAAUCCAGCUUAGUAUCCGGACUGAGGUAUGCUAUGUGGGCAGAUGUUGCAUUUCCAAUGAAAUGCCACGAAAAACGUAAAAACAGUUCAUUCCUUGUUUUCCCAGUGCUUGUACAGUGAUUGCACAAUAUUUGAAUGUUUGAUGAAAUAUAUUAUUCAGUUCUGUUAGCAAAAUUAAGUUCAGCAUUUUAAUGUGGUGGAAGAAAAUGUAAGAUUACAACCGUGGUUCUAAUUACACUCCUGUUGAACAGUCACUGGUCUCCAGCCUGGCCCACGAUGGGAGUCAACGAUCUUCCAGAAUCUACAUCACUCAGAAAACAUCAGGCCUGUGAUGUGACUCAGUGGGUAAAAAUGUGUGCCACUCAGAUCUGCCGACCUGAGUUCAAUCUCCUGACCCCAUGGUAGGAAGAAAGAAUCAAUGCCUGAAGUUGUCCUCUGGGAGCCGGGUGGUGGUCGUGCAUGCCUUUAAUCCCAGCACU